rnacentral:sRNA from 1 species
UAUCGGUCGACACCAUCUCUGCAACUGCGAGCUCGAGCUCUUCUUCAGUAUCGACUUCUUCCCACACAUCAUCUCCUUCUCUGAUCAAGAUGGCAUUACAGCUCUUCCUUGGGUUAGCAUCAGGAUUU